CACCCACCUUGGCCUCCCAAAGUGCUGGGAUUACAGACUGGAGUGCAGUGACAGGAUCAUAGCUCUCUGCAGCCUUGACCUCCUGGAUUCAAGUGAUCCUUCGGUCUUAAGCUUCUGGAGUAGCUAAAACUAUAGGCUGGUCUUGAACUCCUGGGCUCAAAGAUCCUCCUGCCUUAGCCUCCCAAAUGCUGGAUUACAGGCACGAGCCACUGCACUUGGUCCUUACUGUCUUCCCAGUUUCUAUGCCAUCUUCAUCCCCUAGAGCCAUCAUGUGACUUCUUCUUAGAGAAUAUGUUAAAAAUAACCUGGUUUGUAUUUCUCCUUUCCAUGAGCACCCCUUUGUCUACAGGA